UACAGAGGUGGCGAGCGUUAUUCGGAAUUAUUGGCGUAAAGGGCGCGUAGGCGGCUUGACAAGUCCCGGGUGAAAUCCCUCGGCUCAACCGAGGAACUGCCUUGGAAACUGUCUGGCUUGAGGCCGGGAGAGGGUAGUGGAAUUCCAGUGUAGCGGUGAAAUGCGUAGAUACUGGGAGGAACACCGGUGGCGAAGGCGGCUACCUGGACCGGUUCUGACGCUG
rnacentral:rRNA from 1 species